GGGGUACAUGUGAAGAACAUGCAAGAUUGUUGCAUAGGAUAAUGUUUAUCUCACUCCCCAAUGGGCUUCAGACCUGAAAAUUGAAUCUCCCUGAUUUGACGCACAGUGGAGCUCUUAAGUAUUCAUGGUGAAGAGUAGAGACUUUGCAGUAAGACCCUCAUGAUUUGUUCUGGGCUCUUAGUAUCCUGAGUCUUAACAAACUCUGAAAACAAUAAAAACUACUUCAAAAGAUUUGCUGUAAACCUUAUGUGAGGUCAUGCAGGUAGAUUUUUAACCCAUUUAUAACCUUUGUUUCACUUUUUGAAGCAAAUAAUAUAGUUGUGAUCACAGGUCCACUAUUUCUAGUUAAAUAGCAUCUAGAAGCCUGGGAUUUUAUUUUGCUACACAGAACAACUCUGGUACAAUUAAUAACCACUUAGCGUGGGGCUAGAAGAAACGACCACAUUUGAAAAACCCUAGAAGGGGCAACACCAACUGACCUAGAGGGAAGGAGGAAGCAUAUCCGCUACAAUUCCUGAAGGAGGUCUAUUCUUAGAGGAAUCAAAAUGAAAGAGAAAAAAAUUAGUUCCUGGGCACACCUGGACUGUGUUUAAUGUGUUUAACUGUUUCUUAUGAAGGUCGUUCUAAUUAUGCAUGUAUGUAAUCUUCAAAGCUUGUAUAUUAAGGUUCUUUCUGAUAUUGAAAGAUAUGGAUAUGUUUGUUAAUUCACUGUACUGUUAUUUUGAAAGGUAUUUUUUGUGUUAAAUCAAAAUUUAGUCCUUACUGUCAUCUAACUUGAAGAUGAUGGAUUUUACAUGUUCUCCAUUCAUUAAAUGGUGGUGGAGAGAUCACAUCAUGCCAGACAUUGUGACAGUUGCUGAAUUAAAUAGUGGGGAUCCAAGCUAAUAGAUCCCUGUUAAGAUAAAGGCAUGUAUGUCCCAUCUCUUGUAACUGUUUAGAAGAAUGCCACUUGUUAUUUAUCAAAACUUCCAACAUUUCUGAUGUUGAAGCUUUAAAAACUACAAUGUUCUAAUUAUCCUUUGGAUAUUUUAUGUCUUCCUUGUGAGACAUAAUGCUUGAUUUUGUAUUAAUUAUGCAAUGU